rnacentral:lncRNA from 1 species
CUAAAACACACACACGCACGCGCACACACACACAUGUAUCUCCAGUACCUAGCACAAGAUGAGUUUUAUUGCAUACUUUACUUCAUUUUUAUCAUAUAUUAUUUAAAAAUGGUUCUACAAAGCUUAUAGUGAAAACUCUUAACUUUUCAGAGACAGGAAUUUUUCCCUGUCCCACAUCUCCUAAUCUGAACAGCAUGACAAAAUUUAGGACCUAUUGAUUUAAAGAAAGUUAUCCUUGGCAUUUUAGUUAGUAUAUCAAAGCAUGACUAUAAUAAUCUUAAAAGCAUAUAUUAUAAUGUGACGUCAGGACAUGUGGACAUUCUGUUGUCUGUCAUAGGCGUUUGUUCUUGCAGGCAUUAUUAAGUUGUUUGAUCAGCUGUAAACCUCUUAUGACCAUGGGUUGUGACUGGCAAGGAAUAUGCCUUGCUAGUUGAAAGAUGGAGUUGACUUUAAAAUGGUGUCACCCUGGCUCUCCUAUGCUUCUGUUUCCCCAAAAAAGCCAGGUUACUUGUCCUGUAGAAUGAUCCACAUUCUGAGUUUGGCUAAUGACAUUCUCAUGGU